AGUGAACGCUGGCGGUAGGCCUAACACAUGCAAGUCGAACGGCAGCACAGUAAGAGCUUGCUCUUACGGGUGGCGAGUGGCGGACGGGUGAGGAAUACAUCGGAAUCUACUUUUUCGUGGGGGAUAACGUAGGGAAACUUACGCUAAUACCGCAUACGACCUACGGGUGAAAGCAGGGGAUCUUCGGACCUUGCGCGAUUGAAUGAGCCGAUGUCGGAUUAGCUAGUUGGCGGGGUAAAGGCCCACCAAGGCGACGAUCCGUAGCUGGUCUGAGAGGAUGAUCAGCCACACUGGAACUGAGACACGGUCCAGACUCCUACGGGAGGCAGCAGUGGGGAAUAUUGGACAAUGGGCGCAAGCCUGAUCCAGCCAUACCGCGUGGGUGAAGAAGGCCUUCGGGUUGUAAAGCCCUUUUGUUGGGAAAGAAAAGCAGCAGGUUAAUACUCCGCUGUUCUGACGGUACCCAAAGAAUAAGCACCGGCUAACUUCGUGC
rnacentral:rRNA from 1 species